GCUUUCGGGCCCCCCUUGCACGUUGGCGCCCGCUGUUUACCCGCCUGGCCGCCCUCGGCCCACUUCCCUUUCCUCCCCCAGAGGAGGAGAUGGUUAAAGAUUACACUGCGGGCUGCCGGCACUUCAAAGGGCGGCUCGGGCAGCCAAAGGUAAAGAUAACAUUCUGGCAGCUCUAAUCGGGGUUUGUGGUUGCCACAUUUUAAUCACUUCGUUAAAAAAAAAAAAAAAAAACAAAGAAAGAAAAGAAAAAAGUUACAUUACCCCCCUGCUAGGGAUGCAGAACGAGUCCCUUUGGAGCCAGGGAAAGUUUACAGCCCAUCCUUUAGCGACUGGACACCGAGAAGAGAGGCUGGCUGGGACAGGGACCAGUCAGGCACGCCGCCCUUGAGUUCCAGAGUGCACAGAUGCCCACUCUGCACACAAAUGCUUGCAUGUGGAGGAAUUCGCCUGCUGCGUCUGGCUGCGCCGCGCUAGCUCCUGCCGGGGCUGAGUUAGGAGUCGCUGCUCCGCGGGCGCGCUACCCUGGAGACACGUGCCGCUCCCUCCUGGCCCAGACAGGUCCAGCCAGGAUGCCCAGGGCAAACUCGCUCGCCCCCUCGACAGCAGAGCCCAGGAUCCCCUCGCCUGGCCCGGACUAGCUCCCUUCCCGUUUGAGCCCUUCCCGGAGUGAGGCAGAGGUGCACUUACAGAGACCCGGCGGGGAGGCGUGAGGUGCGGGCGACUUCUCCAAGCUCCCACGGAGCCUCCGGGGAAGAGUCCAGCGCACGGCGCCACGCGCCUGGAAGGGACCCCUCUGCUCCCACUCUGUCCGGCUUCCUGGAGACCCAGAUCCGAGAACUGAGAGGCGCCCGCUUCAAGAGCGACCUGGGUAGACCUAAGUGCAGGGAGAGAGCGAAGGACGAGGCACCCUCCUCCGAGCCCGCCUCCGAUAAUGCAAGGGAUGCAUGGAGUGCUUAAAAAAGAGACUAAAAUCUAAUGAAGAAAAAUAGUUGUCAGUAUUAAAAAACAGGUGUUCUCCGCGAAGAUGCGUGGCUGUUUUGAUCUUUCACUGUCUGGCUUGCAGAGCCAGCACCCGGGUGCUGCCUUCCUAACUCCUAGAGGUGUGGAAAUCGAGGACACUUUUAAAAAGUGUUAGUUUAGUUACUGGGGAAGUAGCCUUUAGUAAAAUGAUGCAGGACAGACAGUUGCCUUUGGUUACUUCAGAAGACUUUUCAUGCUAAGUGCCCCAGUUAUAGUCUCUGAACAAAGAACAAUUCCACGCAGGUGAGCCUCACUGAGUUCCUGGCACCCUUGGGGAGCCCUGGUGGAAAUUCUAGUAGAAAACAUGCACUUCAAAAACUGUCCUACGUGAAUCUGCUCUAGGAAGUGGGGAACAUACUCAGGGCUUUCUUGGAGAGAAAACCUCAGUGAGGUAAAACUUGCCCUCUCCACACCAGAGGGAGUUCCGGAAAGAGCUGUCUGCCCAAGCCUGCCAUACCACCUACAAAAACGCAGUUUUUACUCUAGAGUGCAAAGCUUCUUUGCUUUUGAAAUCAGGGAUCACUUUGACUUUCAAGGUCCCUCUUAAUCGUCUACGUAGGUUAUCUGCCCGGGUUUCUGAAUUUUAAGAUGGAAGGAUUCUUAUUCGUGUGUGUGUGUGUGUGUGUGUGUGUGUGUGUGUGUGUGGUGUAUGCUCCUUCUUCGUUUAUGGAGUGAUCUCCAAAUCUGCUUAUUUCUUUGCUGUGUGUGUGUUUUCUAAAUUUGUUCUGAACAUGUUCUUCUCUUAGGUAAGUCCAAACAUCAGCAAGUUGGUGAUUCUCUAAAACAGAAGGGAAGACAGUGGAGAAGGAUUACAGACUAUGUCCUCCUUUUGCAAAUAAAGGAACGGUGACCCAUGAUUUGGGAAAACAUGACAGUGCCACCAUCCAUGUCCGCUCCCACCAAUUGCUUAGUUUCACAUUAGUAAUUUUUCUAUUAGCCAUUUCUUCCACAUUUAUAGAGGGCCUCCUAAUUGCCUAUUUUCAUUAAAAUCAUCUUAUCCUUGGAUUAUUCAUUUUAUUAUUAUUCAACUCAUAACUUAUCCUGUCUAUGAUUCUUGAAGAGCUACACCUGGGAUGCCUUGGAGAGUCACGUGCUCUCACUGUGUCCUCAGAAGAGGUGGAAAAGAUUCUUACUCCAUGUUUAAGGAUGAGAAGUGCAGAAGUCCACAGUUAAAAAGUUUCACAUACACCAUGAGAAUUACUAAUAAGCUUAGUUGAAGCAUGCCAGGAUAAUUUUAGUUAAAAGCCUCUAGCAUUCUGUAGCAUCUGUGAUCCUGACUAUUUGGCUAAGAAAUUAUGGACCUGUCGAUAUCAGCAAACCCUGGAAUAUCUGUUUUCAGAAGAAAAAGAUAAAGUGAUUGAAUUUAUUGGAUGAACAAAGAGUUGGGAGUAAUGUCAACAGUAAAAUCUGAGGAGAGGAGAAAGGAGGCCAAUGGUCAGCUCAGGAAAACUGUUGGAGAAAUCCUAGAUGAGCGGAAGUAGCAGGAAUCAGGAAGCAUUACUGAUAUGAGUGUACACUGCUUCCCAGAGAGAAGAGAGAGAACACAAACUGGGAUAUGCAUGAACGCUUUGGGGCCCAGGAAGAGAAGUUAGUAGGACCAAUGAGGAGCAGUGAGAAAAGAACAUCAGAGAGAAGACCAAGGAUGAAUAAGCCUCAGUCAAGUGCUACAGGCAUUUUGUCAGGAAAACUGUCACUGUUAGUUUGAAUCAGGUGCUUAACAAAAUAAUGUCAAACUAAUCAGUUGCCUAAAAUAACAAUUACAAAGGACUUUACUAUACCCUAAAUGCAAUUUAGCAGGAAUUUAUUGACAACUGCUACAGAUUAAAAUAUGCUAUACAUAGAUAGUGAAAAAGGGAUGUUUAUUCAUUGACUAUUGAUUAAGAAUUUACCCUGGGCUAGGCACUGUGUUUGGCAUUAACAAUAUAUUAAUGAGUAAAGCAGAAGGUCCCGGACCUCUUGGAACCUAUGGCUUAGUGGGGCUGGUAGGCACACACACACACACACACACACACACACACACACACGCACACACAUGCACACAUGCGCGUGUGCACACAUGUUUACAAAUUGUGCUGAGUUCUAUGAAAGACCUUUUUUUGGAAGCAUGAUUCACCAAUGAGGAAAUAAAGUAGAAUUCCAUACAAAAAUGAGCUCCAUUUCUUAGAAGGGUUUGUGUACUUUUUAUUAAUUUGUUUAGUAAACCUUUUCAGGGGUAGGUGAAAUAAAACUAUUUCAAGUACUAAUAAAAUUAUUAUCUUCUAUUAUGCAGUUUUACUUUUCAU